UACGGAGGGUGCGAACGUUAUUCGGAAUCACUGGGCUUAAAGGGUGCGUAGGCGGUGAACUAAGUAGGGUGUGAAAUCCCAUCGCUCAACGAUGGAACUGCGCUCUAAACUGGUUUGCUUGAGUGAGAUAGGGGUGUGCGGAACUUCGAGUGGAGCGGUGAAAUGUGUAGAUAUUCGAAGGAACACCGGUGGCGAAAGCGGCACACUGGGUCUUAACUGACGCUGAGGCACGAAAGCCAGGGUAGCGAACGGG
rnacentral:misc_RNA from 1 species